GGGCGCUAUGAGUGCAGGCCUUUUGCGCGUAGGCCCCAAGCGCUCAGGGCUUAUCUGUGCAGGAGGUGAUGCGCAAACGGGACGUGCAUGCGUACGGAGGGGAAGUGCGUGCUUUCUGCACGUCUUGUGGGCACUGUGCGCACAUACGCGUGCACACACGCGUGUACACAUUGCCUAGCACCCGCGCGGCCAACCAAACUCCUCGUGGGAUUUUCUUCCCAAUUCGUCGUUUUCUGAUUUUUUUCUCAAUUUUUCAUAUUUAAUU
rnacentral:lncRNA from 1 species